AUUAAUUUCUUAAACUUUUGAACCUUCUUAUACCUUAUACUGAUUCAAAAUGGUUUACUUCAAGCAGCAUAUACUAACGCUUACAUGUUUAGUAAUUACAGUUUGGGUUAUGCAUGCAUCUGCUACAGUGAAUGUAGGAUUAGCAUGCGCUGAUUGUGAAGCGAUUUUAAGUUCGUGUGGAUUUAGAAAUUGUAUAGAUGACACAAUGAAUGUUGAAAUAAGCGGAAUGAAUUAUGCAGGUA